rnacentral:rRNA from 1 species
CGGUCCUAAGGUAGCGAAAUUCCUUGUCGGGUAAGUUCCGACCUGCACGAAUGGCGUAACGACUUCCCCACUGUCUCGACCAGGAGCUCGGCGAAAUUGCAGUACGAGUAAAGAUGCUCGUUAAGCGCAGAAGGACGAAAAGACCCCGGGACCUUUACUAUACCUUGGUAUUGGCAUUCGGUGUGGAUUGUGUAGCAUAGGCGGGAGGCCGAGAGGCGCGGUCGCCAGAUCGCGCGGAGCCGUAAGGUGAAAUACCGCUCUGUUCGCAUUGGAUGUCUAACCUCGAACAGUCAUCCUGUUCAGGGACAGUGCCUGGCGGGUAGUUUAACUGGGGCGGUUGCCUCCCAAAGAGUAACGGAGGCGCCCAAAGGUCCGCUCAGCCCGGUUGGCAAUCGGGUGGCGAGUGCAAGUGCACAAGCGGGCUUGACUGCGAGGACGACGGUCCGAGCAGGGACGAAAGUCGGGACUAGUGAUCCGGUGCCGGUGUACGGACGCGGCAUCGCUCAACGGAUAAAAGGUACCCCGGGGAUAACAGGCUGAUCAUUCCCAAGAGUCCAUAUCGACGGGAUGGUUUGGCACCUCGAUGUCGGCUCGUCGCAUCCUGGGGCUGGAGCAGGUCCCAAGGGUUCGGCUGUUCGCCGAUUAAAGCGGCACGCGAGCUGGGUUCAGAACGUCGUGAGACAGUUUGGUCUCUAUCCUCUGCGCUCGUUGGAAUGCUGAGGAGGCCUGCCCAUAGUACGAGAGGACCUGGGUGGACGAACCUCUGGUAUGCCGGUUGUCACGCCAGUGGCACGGCCGGUUGGCUACGUUCGGAAGGGAUAACCGCUGAAAGCAUCUAAGCGGGAAGCCUGCUCCAAGAUAAGCAUUCCGUGGAACCUUCGAGUUCCUGUAGUCCCCAUGCAGAACACGUGGUCGAUAGGCCGGACGUGGAAGCCCCGCGAGGGGUGGAGCCGACCGGUACUAACGGACGAAAGGCAACACCAA